ACAGUAAACCGCGUAAAUCAAAGCCUGCAAAUCACCCCGAAUCCCAUCUCUCUCUCUCUCUCUCUCUCUCUCUCUCUCUCUCUCGAUCGAAUGCACCGGUCGUCGAGCUCCACAAGAGUCUCCGGCGACUUUUCCCAUCAUCGAGUGCCAUUGGCGGAGAACUACAGACCGGGUACCGACGAGACCGGUGAGGUAUUACCCACAUACAAUCCUCGAUCUUAUAUAUCUACCAAAAAACAAAAUCAAAUUAGAUCUGCUGAGGCAGCCAUCCAUCUCAUCCCUCUUCUGUUGGUAAUCUGUGCUAUGAUCCUCUGGCUCUUCUCAGACAAAGGGUUGAAGAUGCAUUAACUGCAAAUUGUAACAAGUCCAUGCAGUACUAUUUCACUUCAAACAUGAACUUUAAAGCUUCUUAAUUUUGGUGAUAAACAUCAUUAUCUUUAUUAUCUUUAAGAAAGGUAUGUUUAGGUUUGUAGAAAGUUUAGAAGAGAAGGCAUCUAGGCCAAACAGAUUAGAAGAGAAGGAAAGCCAUGUUAAUGAAUCAACAGCAAGUAAAAUCUCAUGUAAAACAGCUGAAGAUACAAACACUUCUACCUUAUUAGAUGUUUGUUUAAUGCCAAAACCACAAAUAUCAUCAAAGAAACCACACAAGUUACACUGGGGGCUCGACACGAAAGAAAGAUGGGAAAGGAAACCUCUCACUCAAGACUCUUAGUAUCAUUGUAUUUUCUACAAUAUGAAUAAAUAAUCGUUUUAACUAUGUAUUAAGUUAUAAAAAAGCCCUGUAUAUCUUUUUUAUUAUCUUUUAUUUUUUCUACAAUGUGUUACAAAGAAACUAAACCAAAUCCCAACAUUGGUGUGUAGUUGUUCUACAUCGAGUGUUUGAAUGGAAUCAGAGUUAAGAUUGAAAUAUGAACACAAAA